rnacentral:rRNA from 1 species
UACGAAGGGGGCUAGCGUUGCUCGGAAUCACUGGGCGUAAAGCGCACGUAGGCGGCUUUUUAAGUCAGGGGUGAAAUCCUGGAGCUCAACUUCAGAACUGCCUUUGAUACUGAGAAGCUUGAGUCCGGGAGAGGUGAGUGGAACUGCGAGUGUAGAGGUGAAAUUCGUAGAUAUUCGCAAGAACACCAGUGGCGAAGGCGGCUCACUGGCCCGGUACUGACGCUGAGGUGCGAAAGCGUGGGGAGCAAACAGG